CAGUCCGCCGUGCUCGGCACCCACGCCCGGAAAGCAAACACGGAUGGAAAGCCGCGGUGCGGCCCGACGCCGCUGCCCCCCGCCCAGCACACGUCCUGCGGCCGAGGGCAAGAGCUCUGCCUGGGUGGCAAAGGCAGCUUUCCCAGCAACUGGGAAUUAAUCCCUGCCUAGAGGAGAGCGACGACUAAAAGGCAGGCAGCUGGUGGCACCUUGUGCCUGUUGUUUGAGCAGGCCUUCCCCUUGGUUUAUUGUGCAGCGGAGAGGAGCAAAGUCGAAGGACCAAUUGCUCGUGCUCUAAUUUAUCGCACAUGGAAAGGCAGCAAGGGGAUUUUUUAGCAGCAGAAUGACCUGGCAGCUGGAUCACCAUGAUGGGGCAGGCACAGACUCAGUGUUAAUUCUGCUGCACCAAUUGGUUCUAGCACAAUUCCUCCCUGCCCACAAUCCAAGACCUGGCCUCUGUCCGGGCUGUCAAGUUCAUAAGUGACAAAAGUGUGUAACAGCUCACUUAAAAAUUUACUACUUGUUGCUGUUUGUUACAAGAAGUAAAAACAAAUGUGCUUUCCAAGCAAAAGGCAAAAGUUUGGCUACUAAUCUUUGCAUCAGCUCAUGCAACAUAAUCUGACACUUUUUGUAAAUGAAUUGGCAGAAACAACCCUGUGUAACUCCUCAAAACAAGAUAAUCUGACACUUUUUGUAAAUGAAUUGGCAGAAACACCCCUGUGUAACCCCUCAAACCAUCUGUCCCCAUGUCUCCUAAGACAGAUGCUCAUUGCAGGUGAUCAGCCUAUGGAUGUUCUGUUUCUCCGAUGCGUUGGUACCACGUAAUCCAUUGGCAGAGAUUAUUUCUUACAACUCUUUUGGGUUCCUGUCUUCCACCCUAACAUCAGCUUUCAUGAAAUUUGCAGAGCGUCACGAUCUGCCUCUCUUUAAAAUCAGAGUGAAAGUAGAAAAUGAAUUCAGACUACAUCCAGAAAGGAAUGGACAUAAGGACAAAAGCAGCCACCUAGGAAUCAUUUCCUAAAAAAAGGCAAGAAAACCUUUCCCAUUAUACAACUGUUGAUUUCU